UUCGACUCGGUUAGCUUUGGACCGGUCGUGUUUUUUAUUACCUCAAACCUUGGCAUAAAAGUUAAGAUUUCAGGUUAAAUUUUUUUCCUUUUUGUUUUCUCUUUUCUGCUUCUACUUUUUGGCCAUUUAUGGGCUUAAAUUGUUUCAGCGAAGAAGGGACUGGCUCCCGAGCCCGCUGAAGGCGACCUGGGCGUUUAUUUUAUUUUUUUUUUUUGUUCGCCCGGCCAGCCAAACAGCUGAGAGGCGCACACGGGCGGGUUCCCCGCAGCAAGGAGAGCCGCGGCGGCGGUUAAAAAAAGAGGAGAAUCACCGACAGGCUCUCGGUCAGGCCCGACGUGUUCUCGACGGCCGGCUCUCUGGAUAGCUCUCUCAGCGCCUCAAGCCUUUCCGCCUCGCUCCCGCGCUUAUUUUCACCACAGGGAGCCUUUUAAGCCGCGUUCGUAGCCGAGAGGCGAGCGGCCCACCCCCCACCCCCAAAUUUGAUCGGCGGUUUUGGGAGGCAUUUGGGGAGCUGCACGGAGGCGAUUGUAGGACGGCAGUGAGGCCACCCGGCUGGCAAAGAAGCGGCGGCCGGCGGAGCGCCCUGAAAUAAAGAGGACAAAUUAUUGGGCCGCUUCAAGACCAGCAGCCAGUUAUCCAACAGCCGGCGGGAAGUGGAAGGACUGAAUCGCCUGCAGCCCCUUUCUCAGUACAACUGCAGCUAAACUGUAAGUAGGCCACAGCGGCCCUGUUUUGGCGGGAAAAAAAUUCAAAAUGGCGGACGCCAUUUCAAGCCAGCCGGAAUUGCCGGCCUCAGCCCAAGAAGUCUCUAAUCAAGACAACCCUGAGGAGGGCUCCUCUUCAGACCCUCGGGACUCACCAACCAGGGGCAGGAAAAUGGCCAAGGGCAAGAAAGGGGCGCGGGCUGAGGAGAGGCGCCAUAAGGCGCUCGAGAGGGCCUUCUCUAGGGCAUCCAAGAGGGUUCACAGAUCCCCUUCACCUAAACAAAAGGGGAACAAGAGCACCUCCGACCCUCAGACCUCUACCAACCCAGAUCUCAGUGCAUCACCAAUCCAGGGGUCUGGGUCUUGGUCCCCGGACAGAUCAUCUUCAUGGCCCAUGGCCCAGGCUGGGGUUGCUCCUUUGUUCCGUACUCUUUCGGAAAUAGACCUUCAAAAUAUCGCUGGCCCAAUCCCAAGUCACUCAGACAACGUGAUCCAGGAGGCAGGAGGGCCUAGGCAACAAUCGGAGGCCACAUUACCCCAGCUUACAGUUGGUCAGCUUCCUGAUUCUUUGGGAUUGAUGAUUCAACAGGCCAUACGCCAGGAAUUGGCGUCUCUCCUCCAAAAGGAACCAACCCCCCCCGCGGCCCCCAAACCUCGUAGCGGGGAUAGAGCACGAGAUGCCUCAACUUUAGGUUCAGUCAGGUCCAGACCCCAGGGGGAACAAACCAAUGAGGUGGACAGCCAAGCCUCUUUAUCCGAAGAGGAGGAUACCGGGGAGGCCUUGUCAGAAGAUGAGGGGUUAGGGCCUGAUCAACCAUCAUUUGUGGGACUCUUUAAACCUCAUCUCUUUCGUUCUCUGCUGUUUAAGGCGUUAACAACCACGGGUCUUGGGGCAAUUCAGGCCCCUCCGGCUGAGACUCUGUCUCUGCCUAGCACCUCAAAUAGUCUAUUUGUGGAACCCACGGUGGUUGCAGAAACCAUCCCUGCCCCAAAGAUGUUUGUAGACGUGGUCCAGCGGCAAUGGUCUCAUCCGGGUGCGGGCUCUAACCCCAACGCCACUGACAAGAAGUUUUAUAAUUGUGCUCCGGAGCUGGAGAAUAUUUUGCAGGUACCUACGGUAGAUGCCCCGGUAGUGGCUCUGACAACGACAUCCCAUGUUACGGGUCCGGCGAAUGAAGCUCUUCGUCCGGAAGAUAAAAGAGCGGACCAAUCCCUCGUCAAAUCCCAUCAGGCCGCGGCCUGGUCCAUCAGGUCCUCCAUAGCGUCUUCCUUUUUUAAUAGAGCAUCAAUUAUGUGGCUGAAACAGCUUCAGAGCCGCCUUGCAGCUUCAGACGUAAGAGCCCAUCAGGACCUUAAUAAGGUAAUUGCAGCCUUAGAAUUCUCCGCCGAUUCAACAUUGAACGCAGCCAGGUUCUCAGCAAAAUCUAUCGGGUCCACCGUCACUUCCCGCCGGCUUUUAUGGCUCCGACACUGGCGGGCUGACACCAGGAAUAAGUGGCGCCUGGCAUCCUCUCCCUAUGCAGGCUCACACUUGUUCGGGGCCUCUCUGGACCCGAUCCUAGUAGAAACCAAGGACAAGAAGAAGGUGUUGCCAUCCUUAUCCCGCCGGGGAGAACUUCGUCAACAGCCGUACUUUCGCCCAGGGGCUGCUUCUUCUUCUUCUUCUUCUUCCUUUCGUGACCAGGAACUCGGAGGAGCGGGGUUUCGUCGACAAAGGUUUUCUCCGUAUAGAGGGAACUCUCAGAGGACCGAUCAGUCGGCCUCUUCAGUGGUUCCUCUUGCCACACCAGAGGAACCAAUGCGGUCUUUCCAGACGACGGGUGUCGCUGCCACGGGAGGUAGCCGACUCGUUGGCAUGGUGGAAUCCGGAGAGGGUGGCCAGAGGAUCAGUCUUCAGGGAACCAGUGAGGACUGUUAUCACCACCGACGCCAGCCUGUCGGGAUGGGGAGCUCAUCUGGAUCAACACCUGGCCCAGGGCAAGUGGAACCUAUCGGAAAUCGGCCACGGCAUCAAUUUUUUGGAGCUGAGGGCCAUCCGCCUCGCUCUCUUGGCCUUCGAGACACUCAUUCAGGACGGGGACGUCCUUGUCCUCACGGACAAUGUGACAGCGAAGGCGCAUAUAAACAGAUGGGGAGGUACUCACUCUCGUGCGUUGAUGACGGAAACACUCUCCCUCGGUCAGUGGGCCGAAUCCCACCUGCGGUCAAUAAGAGCGGAACAUAUUGCGGGGGCGGAAAAUUGCACAGCGGACUCCCUCAGUCGUCAGACCAUCGACCAGUCGGAAUGGUCAUUAUCCCCAGAGAAUUUCCAAGAGUUGAAAUCCAGGUUCGGGCUCCCGGUGGUGGAUUUGUUCUCUUCCGAGACCAACAAUCAAGUGCCCCGAUUCUUUUCGAGGUUCCCUGCUUGGGGAGCGGAAUCAGUGGACGCCCUACGCAGCAGCUGGCCUCGGGGUCUCCUAUACGCCUUUCCACCGAUUCCACUGAUCCCCAGAGUGAUCCGGAAGCUCCUAUCCGAGAAGUCAGAAUUAAUAUUGGUCGCCCCCUUCUGGCCCAGGAGACCCUGGUUUGCGGACCUGAUCACUCUGUCAAUUCGAGAACCGUGGAGGAUUCCGGACAGCCAGGUGUCCCUCUACCAGGGACCAGUUCGACAUCCCAAUCCGCAAUGGCUACGCCUAGCCGUGUGGAGGUUGAGCGGUGCGUCUUAGCUACAGCAAGGGUUCCGAAUCAGGUCAUUCCUACCAUGCUAGCGUCUCGCCGAGACUCUACCAAACGAAUCUACGAGGCCACGUGGCGCACAUUCGAAAAGUGGUGCACAACUCACAGUAUAGGGGCCUCUUCGGCUUCCGUCUUGGACAUUCUGGCUUUUCUGCAACGAGGCCUCGAUUCAGGACUGGCGACGAACACACUUAAGAGGCAGGUGGCGGCUAUUUCGUCAGUCCUGAGGUGCGGCUCACUCAUUUCCCUUUCAAAGGAGCCCCUCAUUCAACAAUUCUUCCGGGGGGCCAGCAAUGUUAACCCGCCGGUCGUACAUCGCUUUCCAUCUUGGCGAUUGAACGCGGUACUCAAUGCUCUAACCAAGACACCAUUUGAACCACUUAGAGAUUCCUCUCUCCGGUUUCUGUCGCUGAAGGUUUCCUUUCUGAUAGCCAUCACAUCGGCACGCAGAAUUUCGGAAUUAUCAGCCUUGUCAAUCCGUCAAGACCUCUGCACUUUCUUUAAGGAUAGGGUGGUGCUACGUCUAGACCCUACCUUCAUUCCGAAGGUUAACAGUCAAUUCCAUAGAGCACAGGACAUCGUACUGCCUAAUUUCUGCCCAAAUCCCAGACACCAUUUGGAAAAAGUGUGGCACACUCUAGACGUUCGGAGAGCAUUGAAGAUUUACAUUGAUCGGACAUCAACCUUCCGCAAAACAGAAGCCCUUUUUGUUUCAUUCCAACCACUUACUCUGGGUCAGAAGGUGACAAAAUCGGUUCUGGCUAGGUGGAUCAGGGCGACAAUAGCCACAGCAUAUGAGAGUCAGUCCCUUCCGGUGCCGCGUAAUAUUACGGCACACUCUACCAGGAGUGCAGCCUCUUCUGCCGCUUGGGGGGCCCAAGCUUCGAUCGAUGAGAUCUGCAGAGCAGCAACGUGGUCCACUCCUUCUUCGUUCAUUCGACACUACCGGGUAGACUCCUACGCGUCGGCGGACGCAGCGUUUGGCAGACGAGUUCUACAGACGGUUUUUUCGCAACAACAAUGACUAGCCGCCUUCGACCCUCCCGUUCAACACGACGACCUGCAGUUGGAUCCUCGCCGAAAAAGCUGGAAAGGAAAAGGAGUAGGCGGGGACCACAAACGAAUAAUUUUAAGACUCGGUCCAAUCAGCAUCGAGGAGAUUAACCCAGUCCUGACGGCCGUUUUCCCCUCUCUAAGAAGGGACGUUCAGCUUUCCCCGGACCAGCUGGUCUUACUUCUGGAGUGUCUCCUGCAGAAGGGGACAUUCUGUUCAAAAAUGUUGGAAUGCUUACAGAAAACUUACCACCUCCGUGAGCAGGAUGCAGAG